UAUUCUUUUUCCUUGCCUGUCUUAUUCAAAUUGCCAGUUUGACCAAUGUAGAAACACUGACUUAUCCAGUUGUUUCAGUUCUGUGAAGCUUCCCUAUUGCAAAGCUCUUUACAGAAAAGUUUCAAUGUGUUGAAAUAAGCGAUAAACCUUGGAGCCAGUUUCAUGUUUAAAUUCAGAAUAUGGCACUUCCUAGCAGCAGAGCUUUGGGAAAGUGACGUCACAGAGUAUUAGUUUCCUCCUCUGGCAAAUGGACAACAGUACCUAAUUUCUAGAGCAAUUACAAUGAUAGAUUGAGGUAACGCUCAUAACUGUUAGUACAGCACCUGGUGCUUAGUAGAUGCCCAGUGAAUGUAAGCUCAUGGUAUCAUUCCCUCCCUUUGCUGGACCGUGGACAAUGGCAAAGGUGGUGGGGAGCAUUUGAACCAACUCCCCAUAUAUUCCUUGGGUAUAUACUACAGGUGUAACAUUAAACCCAGUCCUCUUAGAAUACGGAGACCCAUCUUAAGGAUGAUUCUUUAGGAAAACUUAAAAGAGUGAGCAGAUUUAAACUGGUAUUUGAAAGAUGAUGAGCUUUGGUUUCAGAGGGCAAAAGGAAGUCAUUCCGCUUAUACAGUGCAUCCUGGGUGGACUCACUGGUUCUCAAUAUCCAUUCAUUCUUUCUUCCUUUUACUAAUGCACCUCCUACUACAUCCCUGUCCCUCAGUUUAGCUCAGAUGUGGCUACCUGCUACUUCUAUGACCUUUUUUUUUUCUUUGCCUCCAGGAACGACCACAUGAAUAAGUUCUGAACAAUAGGAUGUGACAAGAAGCACUGUUGUGGAUCACUUCUCAAAAUGAAUUUACUUGUUCUGUGUGUCUUCUUCCCCUCUCUUGAGGAUUGGCAUGGGAGUAUGAUGGGGAAGAGUCAUCUUUGCUCAUAAAGACAAUGGGGGAUGAUGAAGCAAUAGAAAGAAGAAACUGGGUUCCUGGUGACUUUGUUGAGCACAGCCACCCUUCCCAUCCAGACAGCCCAACAGCUCCACUCCUCCUUCCAGUUAAGCCACUGCUGUUUGAUCUCCAUUAUUACAACUAAACCAGUAUCUUCACUAAUCAUAUCCUGAGGAUGUAGGUGCAGGUGAAAAUGAGCCUAACACAUGUGGGGACAGAAAAGGAAUGGGUCUGAGUGGAAAAAAGGGAGGGUAUUUGAGAGUAAUAGGUAAAGGCAAACAGAGCACAGACUUACUUCUAGAUUCUUGAUGGGAGGAAGGCUAGGGAUUCUGAGAAGAGAGCAAAGCAAAUAAAGCCUUCCUACCCACAUGCCACCAAAAAAGCAUGGAAUAAAAUGAAAGAUAAUCCAUGGAAAAAAGCCAAGAAGACACAUUCCUCUCAUUCCAAUUCAACUCAGCAUCAGCUCAACUCAUAGGAGGAGGGCUCUAAGAACAAGGUCCAACACCAUCCUCACUAAGGGGUGGUUCUGUUUCUGUUAAUUGACCAGCUGCACAGAUGGGAAGUGAGGAUGAACUGAGGCAUCCCAGUCCAUUCUGAAUAGCCCUUUGCAAGCUCUGACUUGCACCGAUCAUAAUCACUUUUCCCUAUUGUUCUAUUUCCACCUUCUAAGGCCACAAAGAGCAAGUAGAAUCCUUGCAUAACUCUUGCUUCAAAUGACAGUCACUCCCAUGUGUGAUGGUGGCUCCCAUGGAGUCUCAUCUUAUAGAGGCAAACAACUCUUUCAUUAAGUCCUCAUAUUUAUACAUUUCUAUUUUUGUCUUUGCAGACAGAAUUCCCACCAAGGCUGUGCAGCCAUGGGCAAACAAGUUUCCUUGCCAUCCCAGCUUCUUUAUCUGAAAAAUGAAGAAGCUUGACUUUUCUAUUUACAAGUCCUCGUGUCAAAUACUUCUGGGAGGCAAGAAUGUAUACGGGGUGUUGGACAAUAGGGAAUGAUGAUAAUCGUGGUGAACUGGAAACUACAUACUUGACCUAAGGACAUUAAUGUUAAAUUUUGAGUUUUGUUUAUUGCCUGCUAGUGUUUGCUUUUUGGUAUUAAAGCUACAUUAGCCAUGUAAGCCACACCUGAAUGCUAGAUAUAGGCAAGUUUAUAAAUUCUGGUCUGAAUGAUCUUAAGGACUUCUCUAGCCCUAAAAUUCCAUUAUUCUUUUAAGGUGUCCCAUUUUACAGAGUGGACUCCAACUAGGCCUAUCUUUUGUGCCAAAGGGAGCAGAUACACCCUUGUGCUGGACAUCCUCCGUUUGCCCUUCCAGAUUGCUUUUCCAUUCUUCUCCACCUUGCUCUGUGCCCUGGAAUCUAAUUGUUAAGGACGCCAUCAAGCUGAGCUCAUUGAAUUCUGAGUUCUAGUUGGAACUGGCCAAUGAGAGUGCUAGCAUGAAACAGGCAGGUGAGAGGAGAGAAAGGUUAGCCCCUCCCUAUUUAUCUGCUGGUUGGCAGUGGCUGGGUUCCUGUAAUAAGGCCACAUCCGCUGUCUGCUGGCCUUACCCUAUGGCUACAUGUCUCAAUGGUUCAGAUAACCAUCCCUUCCUUUCCCUUUCAGGCCAAGGGACAUAACUGGCUGCCCACUGGUCAGCCUCCUGGGGCAGGCACAGAAGGGUGGAGGGAAGACCUCAUUAAAUAAAGACAUCCAGCACACCAAAACAGGCAGAAAGCAGACAUGAUAACGAGAUUGCCACCUAUUUACCUUCUUGUAACCAUAAGAAUGAGGGAAGCUUCAUUCCGACGGAGUUCGACCAAAAUAGAGAAGAAGUUGUAAGGGCAACCCUUGCAUAAAAAUAUCCACUCACCAACUGUUCACCAACUGUUCUUCCUCUUGCUGGCAUACCUUAUGCAGCAUCCUCAGAUGCCAGAGCGCGUUUCUGCUGCAGCCUCCACGAUGCCUGGGCUGAUAGCAAUCAGGUCCUGCUAUGCUUCUUUCAGGAAGAGCUGACCCCUGGAAUCUGGGCUAGACUUGCACUUGUUUUGGCCAUUGGAAUAUCAAGCUGACUUUUUGUGGGCUCUGGAGACUAGGACCUAAAAGGAGGAAUGUUGCCCCCUCAUCAUUAUGUAAAGAAGCUGGCGCAACCUGCUGGAGGAGAAUAUGCCACCUGGGGAAGAACUGAGGCACCCAGCCAACAUCCAGCACCCACCACUAGACAUGAAAACACUGGUCGGUUACUAAUGGAGAAGAAGAAAAAGCAGCAAAGACAACGAGUAUACUUGGGAUGCGAUCGCAUGCCUGGAGCAUCUGGUGGGCAGGAUUCACUCGUCCUUUCCUUUUUGAGAUUGCAAUUAAGUAGAUAAUAUGAGAGAGAACUGACAAUUGGGUUGUCCCUACUGAGCUUGGGGCCAGGUGUGUACUUAGGAACCCAAUCCCACCCAGAAGAGACUCAUCUAUGUUAACACUAAGGAUGCCCUGGAGGAGGUCCUGACCACAUACAUGCGGCCAUUGGUUGAUUUCAGCUUUGCAAGCAGCGUAGUGAGAAAACCAAAAGCUUGUCCUAUCCAGACUGAGCUUGCCAGGGAAGCAGAGGCCUGAGGUUACUUAACGAGAGGCAGGCUGCCAGAGUGGAGACACAGGGCAUGUACAAUCAUACAAACCUGCAUACCAAUUCUGCCCCCCCACUCACUCUGUGGCUGUGUCACCCUGGCAAGUGACUUAACCUCUCUGAUCUUCUUUUCCUCACCUAUAAAAUGGGGAAAAUGAAAUGUAUCUCAGAUUGGGGAUUCGAAGGUUUCAAAUGACCAUUUAGGUAAACUUCCUGGAACAUAGUAUGUGUUCAGGAACCUUGAGUUCCCUCCCCUUGGGAGAAGACCCCUCACACUGAGCUGGGGAGCAGGAUCCUGGUCACUGAGACUUCUUUUCUGCACAAACUUCAUCUUGGCCUCUAAUGAGAUGGAAUCCCCCAGGGCCUGUUGCCUCCUGUUAUUGCAAUUUAAGCACAGCCAGUGCUGACUGGGCUGUUAGACUCCAAAGGUUCCCUGGUAGAAAAUUUGAGGGGUGUGGGAUGGCAAGGGAUUGAGAGAGAGGGGUGGGGACUUCAGAUAGCCAGUAUUCCUUAGCCUUCCAAUUCCUUAACAGCCAAAUUACCCUAGAGCCUCUUUAUGAAGCUAAAGAAAUACAAAUACUAUUUUCAAAUCAGCAGGCAUUCCCAAUGUUGGCUUUUGCUGAGGGUAGCUAAGAGGCAAAGCAUACCUAGAUCCUAGGCCAGACCUCAACAGCCUUAGUUCUGGCUCCUUCUGUUUCCAUAUUUCUCAAGAACCUGGUUUUCUCUGCUGGAAGAAGCAUUUUCAGAGGUCAUCUGAAGUCUACAGCCCUCCCCUCUGCGAGGAGAGCACAGACUUGAAGUCAAGUGGGCCUGGGCUCCAAAUCUUAGUUCUGCCACUUACUAGCUAUGUGGCCUUGGACAAGUUACUUAACUCCCCCAUGCCUCAGUUUCUCUGGAUACCAAAUGGGGAUAAUGAUGCUAAUACCUCAUAGAGUAGGCAUGAGGGUUAUAUGAGUAAAGUGCUGAGAAAGGAGCCUGAUAGGUAAUUACCUGAUCCCCCUCCUCUCGCUAGAGCCCCCACACCCUGGUGAUACUCACCACUAUGCCUUCACUUUAUAAUCAACAGAAACACUUCAACACCCAUCCCAGAAAACACAUGAAAUACUCACAUUACACAAAGAUCAAAUGAGUGGGGAUGAUUAAACCUAUUUUCCUUUUGAUUCAAACAAGUGGAGUGCUCUGUCCUUGGCCACACAGUUUAAAGAAUGAAGCCAGGACUACAUGCCAAACAGCAUGACUCCUAGGGUAAAGUUCUUCCCACCCCAUGAAGAUGCCCUCACCCCUCAAUUUCUCCUGACUGUUUCUUUAAAUAGAAAGGUUUUGAUGGAAACACUAGUGACGUAUAUGAAUUUUGAAGCAGAUAUCCAUUUUUAAUAUAGGAAGGAAGACAUUAAGAUGUCAAACUUGGGGCUGCUAAAUGAACAUCUGUAGCCCAAACAUGGGGCACCAGGGCUGGGAGGCUCAGAGAAGUAAUUGCCACAAAAAAGAUGCACCAGGACAUUGAUUUCUUCUGCCUGUUUGCUUGAUUUCCACUUUGAGCUUACUCAAUUGGCUAUUCCUCUGUUUUGCCACCUCAAGAACAUGACCCCAGCUCAUUUGAAUGAAAAUAUGUUUGCCAUUACCUCAUUAAUUUCUGAGACUUUGCAUUAUUUUUUACACCCACCUCCUUUCUUUUCUUCUCCCUCAAAAUUCAGAGUAUUGGUUGGAAAGAGGUAAAUCAGGCACCAUUUCUCCAUGAUGUGUCAGGACCUGAAUCUGUCAUUUGCGAGCCUGACCUCAUAACUCAGCCAAGCCAAGCUGCAAGGCACCCUGGGAACCCAUCACUGAAAGACUGCAGAGGGAGGAAGGCAAGGGCAGGAAUAGCCAGCUGGUCAAGCAGCAGAGUGUCUCCUCAGCUCCCAGGAAAUGGUGUCUAAGGGUGAUGAUGAACUGGGACUUCAUCUGAGUCCAAAAUAAUGAUGCUGCUGAUGCAACAGCAGAACUUAUUAAACACUUACUACUGCAUAUGCCACUAUGAGGUAGACUUACAGAGAAUAAGUUACUCUCCCAUAAUCACACAGCCAGUAAAUGACAGAAAUGGGAUCCAAUCCAAAUAUGUUUCAUUCUAAAGCCCAUGCUCUUCACCAACAAAGCCCAACUUGAUUUAAUUUAUCCCCAAACAUACCAACAUCCAUUUGUUAGUUCCCUUCCCAAUUUAACUUUAAGCGUCUCACAUACAUACACUGUUUUUAUCCUAACAACAAGUUGGUGAGGAACUGAGCUCAGAGAGGUUAAUCCACCCACUGAAAGGCACCCAGUGUUUAAGAGCAGAGGGAGGGGCCUGACACAGGUCUUUCGGAGCAUGACAUGCAUGUUCUGUCCACAAGGCCUGUUGCUGCCUUUCCCCCAGAGGUCCAGACUGAGGACGGGACAGAGUAGAUAAAGACAGCAGUGUGAGAGGAGGCAGUGGGCAAUAUGGGGAAUCUAGGGGCAGCAGUAUGCUGGUCCCAUAUAAUCAGGCCCGGGGGAGGGGCCCAGACAGAGGGUGGCAGACUCUCUGUACUCCAGCAAGACAAUCCCAGAAGAAAUGCCAGAGAGAUCAAUGAGAAGGCCAGUCAUUUACACUGGGCACACACACAGUGUUUAGGGUACUCAGAUAGGUACCCAGGCCUCACCCCAGGCUGUUUGGACACCAGGAGUCAUAGCACUCUUCCAGGCCACAACUGCUACUUGGGGUGGGAGGAGAGGAUGAGACGUGGCAUUUGUGGAAUAAUGACUGUGGCCAAGCAGUGGGCUCUGUAUGAUGCCAUCGUCAAUUCUCACAGCAAUUCUACAACAUAGGUUUUGUUACUUCUCUCUCACGCUUUACCCUAAAUUUCUCCUGCCUACCACAGUGCUUGGCACACACAAACAGAAUAAUAAUGUGUGGAACUGACUAAUUCAUUUUCCAUUCUGCUGGUCAGGGAGAAAUUAAUAGAGGCAGAGGCUAUUAAUAAAACAUUACAUUACCUCCAAUGAGUGUGGAAUAAUUCUCUAAAAUACUGACAAUCAG
rnacentral:lncRNA from 1 species